rnacentral:rRNA from 1 species
CAAUAGCGUAUAUUAAAGCUGUUGCGGUUAAAAAGCUCGUAGUUGGAUUUCUGUCAAGGACAACUGGUCCGCCCCUCGGGUGAGCACAUAGUUUGGUCUUGGCAUCUUGUUGGAAACUGUUGCUGCACUUGGUUGUGUGGCGCAGUGUCCAGCACUUUCACUUUGAGGAAAUAGGAGUGUUUCAAGCAGGCACAUGCCUUUGGACACAGUAGCAUGGAAUAAUUAGAUUGGGCUUUUGCUCCAACUUGUCGGUUUCUGGAGCUGAGGUGAGAAUUAAUGGGGAUUGUUGGGGGCAUCCGAAUUUAGCCGUCAGAGGUGAAAUUCUUGGAUCUGCUAAAGACGGACAACUGCGAAAGCGUUUGCCCAGGAUGUUUUCAUUGA